rnacentral:rRNA from 1 species
GAUGAACGCUAGCGGCAGGCCUAACACAUGCAAGUCGAGGGGCAGCACAGGUAGCAAUACUGGGUGGCGACCGGCGGAUGGGUGCGUAACGCGUAUGCAACCUACCAUUGAUUGGGGCAUAGCCCGAAGAAAUUCGGAUUAAUACUCCAUAAUAUUCAUCAAAGGCAUCUUUUAUGAAUUAAAGCUUUUGCGAUCAAUGAUGGGCAUGCGUGACAUUAGUUAGUUGGUGAGGUAACGGCUCACCAAAACGAUGAUGUCUAGGGGUUCUGAGAGGAUUAUCCCCCAACUGGUACUGAGACACGGACCAGACUCCUACGGGAGGCAGCAGUGAGGAAUAUUGGUCAAUGGACGCAAGUCUGAACCAGCCAUGCCGCGUGCAGGAUGACGGCCCUAUGGGUUGUAAACUGCUUUUCCACGGGAAGAACCCUCGACGUGUCGGAGACUGACGGUACCGUGGGAAUAAGCAUCGGCUAACUCCGUGCC